GCGCCGGUGGUGUAAGGUGAACAUCGCUGCCCGGAAAGCAGAAAAUGCAGGUUCGAGUCCCGCCUGGCGCA
rnacentral:tRNA from 1 species